rnacentral:rRNA from 1 species
CCUACGGGUGGCAGCAGUGGGGAAUAUUGCGCAAUGGGCGAAAGCCUGACCCAGCGACGCCGCGUGAAUGAAGAAGGCUUUCGGGUUGUAAACUUCUUUUGUCAGGGAAGAGUAGAAGACUGUCCCUGACGAAUAAGCCACGGCUAACUACGGCCCCGCAGCCGCGGUAAUACGUAGGUGGCACGCUUUGUCCGGAUUUACUGUGUGUAAAGGGCGUGUAGACGGGUGGACAAGUCAGAUGUGAAAUCCUGCGGCCUAACCGCAGAACUGCAUUUGAAACUGUUGAUCUUGAGUACUGGAGAGGCAGACGGAAUUCCUAGUGUAGCGGUGAAAUGCGUAGAUAUUAGGAGGAACACCAGUGGCGAAGGCGGUCUGCUGGACAGCAACUGACGGUGAGGCGCGAAAGCGUGGGGAGCAAACAGGAUUAGAUACCCUGGUAGUC